rnacentral:rRNA from 1 species
GAUGAACGCUAGCUACAGGCUUAACACAUGCAAGUCGAGGGGAAACGAUAGAGAAAGCUUGCUUUUUCUAGGCGUCGACCGGCGCACGGGUGAGUAACGCGUAUCCAACCUGCCCACCACUUGGGGAUAACCUUGCGAAAGUAAGACUAAUACCCAAUGAUAUCUCAAGAAGACAUCUGAAUGAGAUUACAGAUUUAUCGGUGAUGGAUGGGGAUGCGUCGGAUUAGCUUGUUGGCGGGGUAACGGCCCACCAAGGCGACGAUCAGUAGGGGUUCUGAGAGGAAGGUCCCCCACAUUGGAACUGAGACACGGUCCAAACUCCUACGGGAGGCAGCAGUGAGGAAUAUUGGUCAAUGGGCGAGAGCCUGAACCAGCCAAGUAGCGUGCAGGAUGACGGCCCUAUGGGUUGUAAACUGCUUUUAUAAGGGAAUAAAGUGAGCCUCGUGAGGCUUUUUGCAUGUACCUUAUGAAUAAGGACCGGCUAAUUCCGUGCCAGCAGCCGCCGUAA